GUCCACAUAGCUCAAUUGGUUAGAGAGCAUGGUGCUGAUAAUGCCACGGUUGAAGGUUUAAUCCACGUAUGGGACA